rnacentral:rRNA from 1 species
AUGGUCUGGACCGUUCGAGUGCCACUGAAGAUUCGCAUCUUCAUGUGGCAAUGGAUCCGUGGUAGGCUUCCGUCUGGUGUGGAGGUCCGUAAGCGCAAUGGCCCAGGCACCGGUAUCUGUCCGCUCUGUGGCGUCCCGGAGGACUCGAACCACAUCUUCUUCUCCUGCGUCUCCGCCCAAUUCCUCUGGAGCUGCUUUCGCGAGGUGGUCGGCGGGAGUUGGUGCCACACCAACUUCCCGGACCUUUUUGCUGAACUCCAACUGUCCCCCGUGUCCACUCGCCACAUUAGGUGGCUGGAAGUUGGGGUGCUUGCUUGGACGCUGUGGACCGUUCGCAACAAACUUGUGAUCCAGCGCGCUCCCCUUCGUCACUCUACUGACGCUCUCUACAAAUUCUCGGGUUUCUUGCAGCUUUGGUGGCCGCUUAGUCGCCCCACGGACCGUGACGCCAUCUCCGCCUUCAUCGCCGACAUCCGAUCGAUGGCCGUCCGCCUAUCUCCGCCGCCACCACCGGAGCCCGAUUAG